AUGUCUUUCCCGGGAUCCUCCACCACCCGCUCAUCGAACCCGUUCGCCGGCCCAACUGCGCCUCGUCAGCCCGCGCCGACCGGCUACUUCCCCGUGCACCCCGCACCGGGUCUUCUUGGUCCACGUCCCGCGGGCCACCAGGCGUUCCUCGGCGCCCCCUACCAGCCCUACGGUGCUUCGCUUGCUCCGCCACCUCUCGACGGCUAUGGCGUGCCCGCUCAGGCGCCACCCUAUGGAGGUCAGCCGUCGCCGCCAGUUCCUGCACCGUGGGACCCCACCCUCCCGGCCGCCCUACACUCGGCGCCGUCGCCGUCGCCGAGUCUGUACGAAGGUGGAGGCGUCUGGUACAUGGACUCGGGUGCUACUGCGCACAUGACAGCUCAUCCCGGUAACCUAUCCUCUUCCACUCCAGUUAACACUCCCACUCGUAUCACCGUUGGCAACGGUUCUUCUUUACCUAUCACUAUCACUAUGUCUAAUGUCCUUGUUUCACCUGACUUAGUCACUAGUUUAGUCUUUGUUCGUCGUGUUACUCGUGAAAAUCCUCUUACUGUUGAAUUCGAUGGUGUUGGGUUUUCUGUGAAGGACGCCCGUACCCGGAUGGUGCUUCACCGUUGUGAUAGCCCUGAUGAGCUUUAUCCCAUGCACGCAGGCACCUCCACUUCCACACCUGUCGCUCUCGCCGCCCGUGUCGAGCUUUGGCAUGCUCGUUUGGGCCACCCCAACCCCACUGUUUUGCGUCAGAUUCUUAGGAGUUUUUCUUUCUCAUGUAAUAAGCUCGACGAGCAUACUUGUGAGGCUUGUCGUUUGGGCAAGCAUGUGCGUCUCCCUUUAGUGCGUCUACUUCAGUUUCCAUUUUUCCAUUUCAGUUGCUUCAUAGCGAUGUUUGGACGUCUCCCGUUGCGAGUAACAUGGGCUAUCUAUACUACUUGGUGA
rnacentral:rRNA from 1 species